UACGUAGGGCGCAAGCGUUAUCCGGAAUUAUUGGGCGUAAAGAGCUCGUAGGCGGUUUGUCGCGUCUGCCCGUGAAAAGUCCGGGGCUCAACUCCGGAUCUGCGGUGGGUACGGGGCAGACUAGAGUGAUGUAGGGGGAGACUGGAAUUCCUGGUGUAGCGGUGAAAUGCGCAGAUAUCAGGAGGAACACCGAUGGCGAAGGCAGGUCUCUGGGCAUUAACUGACGCUGAGGAGCGAAAGCAUGGGGAGCGAACAGG
rnacentral:rRNA from 1 species